rnacentral:rRNA from 1 species
AUCGAACGCUGGCGGCAGGCCUAACACAUGCAAGUCGAGCGGAUGAAGCCUGCUUGUUUGUGGUUCUAGCGUGGGACGGGUGAGUGAAGCCUAUGAAUCUGCCUGGCAGUGCGGGAUAAUGACUGGAAAAGGGUGCGAAUAAUGCCUACGUCCAGAGGCAGCAACUGGGUGAUCUUCGGACCUCUUGCUCUCAGAGGAGUCUAGGCCGGGUUUGCUAGUUGGUGGGGUGAAGGCUUACCAAGGCGAGGAUCCGUAACUGGACUGAGAGGAUGAUCGGUCACACGAGAGCUGAGACACGGUCCAGACUCCUGCGAGAGGCAGCAGUGUGGAAUAUUGGACAGUGGGCGAAAGCCUGGUCCAGCCAUGCCACGUGUGUGAAGAAGGUCUUCGGAGUGUAAAGAACUUUAAGUUGGGAUGAAGGGCAGUAAGUUAAUACCUUGCUGUUUUGACGGUACCAACAGAAUAAGCACCGGCUAACUACGUG